GGAUGCGAUCAUACCAGCACUAACGCCUCGGAUCGCAUCAGAACUCUUAAGCUAAGCGUACUUGGGCGAGAGUAGUACUAAGAUGGGUGACCCCCUGGGUAUUCCUUGUGUUGCAUCCC